UACGUAGGGAGCGAGCGUUGUUCGGAAUUAUUGGGCGUAAAGAGUUCGUAGGCGGUUUGGUAAGUCGUGUGUGAAAUCUAUGGGCUCAACUCAUAGUCUGCAUGAGAAACUGCCGGGCUUGAGUAUGGGAGAGGUGAGUGGAAUUCCUGGUGUAGCGGUGAAAUGCGUAGAUAUCAGGAGGAACACCUGUGGCGAAAGCGGCUCACUGGACCAUAACUGACGCUGAUGCACGAAAGCUAGGGGAGCAAACAGG
rnacentral:rRNA from 1 species